AGCACUUGUGCGUCUUUAGUUUGUAACAAAGAUUUGCAGACUGGUGCAAAAAGAAAAUCCUCUUUUGCAACCCAGAACUCAUGGUUCAAUGUGAGUUUUGGUAUAUGUAAGAAACAAUACU
ensembl:snoRNA